GGUCUAGGUCCUAGAGACUGAACCAGAGAUAGGUGGUGACAGGUCUAGGUCCUAGAGACUGAACCAGAGAUAGGUGGUGACAGGUCUAGGGCCUAGAGACUGAACCAGAGAUAGGUGACAGGUCUAGGUCCUAGAGACUGAACCAGAGAUAGGUGGUGACAGGUCUAGGUCCUAGAGACUGAACCAGAGAUAGGUGAUGACAGGUCUAGGUCCUAGAGACUGAACCAGAGAUAGGUGGUGACAGGUCUAGGUCCUAGAGACUGAACCAGUCCUGUCAGUCAACACCAGAGAUAGGUGACAGGUCUAGGUCCUAGAGACUGAACCAGUCCUGUCAGUCAACACCAGAGAUAGGUGACAGGUCUAGGUCCUAGAGACUGAACCAGAGAUAGGUGGUGACAGGUCUAGGUCCUAGAGACUGAACCAGAGAUAGGUGGUGACAGGUCUAGGUCCUAGAGACUGAACCAGAGAUAGGUGGUGACAGGUCUAGGGCCUAGAGACUGAACCAGAGAUAGGUGAUGACAGGUCUAGGUCCUAGAGACUGAACCAGAGAUAGGUGGUGACAGGUCUAGGUCCUAGAGACUGAACCAGAGAUAGGUGGUGACAGGUCUAGGUUCUAGAGACUGAACCAGAGAUAGGUGGUGACAGGUCUAGGUCCUAGAGACUGAACCAGAGAUAGGUGGUGACAGGUCUAGGUUCUAGAGACUGAACCAGAGAUAGGUGAUGACAGGUCUAGGUCCUAGAGACUGAACCAGAGAUAGGUGGUGACAGGUCUAGGUUCUAGAGACUGAACCAGAGAUAGGUGACAGGUCUAGGGCCUAGAGACUGAACCAGAGAUAGGUGGUGACAGGUCUAGGGCCUAGAGACUGAACCAGAGAUAGGUGGUGACAGGUCUAGGUCCUAUAGACUGAACCAGAGAUAGGUGGUGACAGGUCUAGGUCCUAGAGACUGAACCAGUCCUGUCAGUCAACACCAGAGAUAGGUGACAGGUCUAGGUCCUAGAGACUGAACCAGAGAUAGGUGACAGGUCUAGGUCCUAGAGACUGAACCAGAGAUAGGUGGUGACAGGUCUAGGUCCUAGAGACUGAACCAGAGAUAGGUGGUGACAGGUCUAGGUUCUAGAGACUGAACCAGAGAUAGGUGGUGACAGGUCUAGGUCCUAGAGACUGAACCAGAGAUAGGUGGUGACAGGUCUAGGUCCUAGAGACUGAACCAGAGAUAGGUGGUGACAGGUCUAGGUCCUAGAGACUGAACCAGAGAUAGGUGAUGACAGGUCUAGGUCCUAGAGACUGAACCAGAGAUAGGUGGUGACAGGUCUAGGUUCUAGAGACUGAACCAGAGAUAGGUGGUGACAGGUCUAGGUCCUAGAGACUGAACCAGAGAUAGGUGGUGACAGGUCUAGGUUCUAGAGACUGAACCAGAGAUAGGUGGUGACAGGUCUAGGUCCUAGAGACUGAACCAGAGAUAGGUGGUGACAGGUCUAGGUCCUAGAGACUGAACCAGAGAUAGGUGGUGACAGGUCUAGGUCCUAGAGACUGAACCAGAGAUAGGUGGUGACAGGUCUAGGGCCUAGAGACUGAACCAGAGAUAGGUGACAGGUCUAGGUCCUAGAGACUGAACCAGAGAUAGGUGGUGACAGGUCUAGGUUCUAGAAACUGAACCAGAGAUAGGAGGUGACAGGUCUAGGUCCUAGAGACUGAACCAGAGAUAGGUGGUGACAGGUCUAGGUCCUAGAGACUGAACCAGAGAUAGGUGGUGACA